GAGGAUCUUUGACUAACAUUUUUUUUCAUUAUGUGCUUAAAAACAGGAGAACAUCUUAUUAGAAUAGCCCUGCUUUAAACUAUCACAGAGUGCGUAAAGGAUAUGCCGGUAGAGAUGACGUCAUUCUCUCGCCACACAGUUAUAUUGGUUUACUGCCCAGUAGGGGGAGGCAUCGCGCUGAGCUUCAGCACACGUCACAGAAGGUGAAGUGAAACUGCUGGUGAAGGAGGAAGAGGAGGAGGAGGAAGAGAGGAUACGUAUCGCGAGAGCGGUGUUGUGUUACACUGGAUAGGGCGCUGGUGUUGGCUCCCUGACGGCCUGAAUGCCUGCGUGGAGUGGAUACGCCCACGGCUCAGCCUCCUCUCUGCCGUUGAAUCACACGGUGUGACACGCUAGUGGACGGAGACUGGCGGCGCAUGGCUGCAUCCAUCCGAGGUCCAACGAGGAGGACAUGAGAGGACAUGGGAGCGUCUGGCUGGCCCAAAAAACAUUUAUCAGACCGGAUUGGCCAAAGGACAACUUGCCAAAGGACGAGUGACAAACAAACGCCAACAGUGGCUCUGGCAGCGAGUGCACAGAUUCUAAAGGAGUAAAACCACCGCUGGACAGGGGCCGGCUUGUAUGGGGGCCAAAUCCCCGUCCAAGACACAGCGCGUCUCCUCGAUCCUCCAUCCUCAUCCCUCCUCCGUCCCUGCUUUUCUCUCAUUUGCCCUCUUUCACUCUCAUGGGAGUGACAUAGACACCGCUGCUCUGUCCGCUGCUCCGCCCCUUCCCCGUCUUGCCGAGGGAAUGGGAGCAUUCAGGUAGGGAUGUCGUGGAAGAGGAACUACUUUGCUUCCGGUGGCGGGGUGCAGGGGCUGGCGACCUCGAGAACCAUGACCUCCAUCGCGCCGAGCAAAGGCCUGAGCAAUGAGCCGGGACAGAACAGCUGCUUUCUGAACAGCGCUCUGCAGGUUUUGUGGCAUCUGGACAUCUUCCGCAGAAGCUUUCGCCAGCUGACCACGCACAAAUGCAUGGAGGACUCAUGCAUCUUCUGCGCACUGAAGAGCAUCUUUGCCCAAUUCCAGUUCAGCAGUGAGCGCGUGCUGCCGUCAGAUGCACUGCGCAGCGCCCUGGCCAAGACUUUCCAGGGAGAGCAGCGCUUCCAGCUGGGCAUCAUGGACGACGCCGCCGAGUGCUUUGAAAAUCUUCUGAUGCGUAUCCACUUCCACAUCAGCGCAGAGAGCAGAGAGGACAUCUGCACGGCCAAACACUGCAUUCCGCACCAAAAGUUUGCCAUGACUCUGUUUGAACAGUGUGUUUGCAACAGCUGCGGAGCCACGUCGGACCCGCUGCCUUUCAUUCAGAUGGUGCAUUACAUCUCCACCACGUCCCUAUGUAACCAGGCAGUGAGGAUGCUGGAGUGCAGAGAGAAGGCCACGCCGGACAUGUUUGGGGAACUUCUGCGCAACGCCAGCAACAUGGGAGACCUCCGCAACUGUCCCAGUAACUGUGGCGAGGUGCUGCGUAUCCGUCGCGUGCUGAUGAACUCGCCGGAGAUCGUGUCCAUCGGGCUGGUGUGGGACUCGGACCACUCGGACCUGGCAGAGGACGUCAUACACAGCCUGGGCACCUGCCUGCGCCUGGGCGACUUGUUCUACCGAGUGACAGAGGACCGGGCUCGCCAGACAGAGCUCUACUUGGUGGGCAUGGUGUGCUACUAUGGCAAGCACUACUCCACCUUCUUCUUCCAGACCAAGAUACGCAAAUGGAUGUACUUCGAUGAUGCUCACGUCAAAGAGAUCGGCCCAAAGUGGAAGGACGUGGUGUCCCGCUGUAUCAAAGGCCAUUAUCAGCCCCUGCUGUUGCUCUACGCUGACCCCCGAGGAACGCCGGUGAUACUGCAGGAAAGCGCCAACCUCUGCACUGGCUCCAACCCGCAGCUGGAGCUCCAGCACUGCAGCAGAAGCAGCAAGGCGGGCUACGACAGCGAAGACUCUGGUCGGGAGCCGUCCAUUUCCAGCGAUACCCGGACGGACUCUUCCACAGACAGCUCGAGCCACCGUGCCUCCCGCAGCCGACCCUUGCACCAAUCCACGGGCAGCCACUUGUCCAGUGACUCUCAGACCACGGUGGUCUGUAAUUACAACCUUGGCACGCCGUCGCACGGUGCUGACGCCAAAGAGUCAGCAGUGGAGGGUCCACCCCGACCCCCCUCUCCUCCCCUGCAGGAGUACAAGGAGACGGCCGUCUUCCUGCUGUCCUCCCGCCGCCCGCUCACCUCCUCCUCGUCUUCCUCUCGCCCCCUGUCCUCCUCCUCCUCGUCAGGGGUGGGGGGCUGUGAGAGCGGGGUCGGGGGGCCUCACUGGGAGGAUGAGAGCACCAGCAGCGAGAGCAAGUCCAGCUCCUCUGGCGGCUGCUACCGGCCCACCUGGAGGCCCCAUAGAGAAGCCCUGAACAUCGACAGCAUUUUUUCCACCCCGAACCAGAGGAUCUGCUCUCAGGGCUACCACACACUGCCGGGCCCCUCUCACCCUCCGCCGGCCCAGCUGCCCUUACCGUCGGUGCAGCCGACCACGCCCACGCUGCGGGGUUCUCAACAGGCUGCGGAGCUGGAGGCAAGAUUCGGGCUGGUGGGCCGGCCCACCAUGGUUCCCCCUGCCCCUCCGCCUCUGAGGGGGGUGGAGCACCAACCUCGCCUCAUUCAGAGGAUGGAGAGUGGCUACGAGAGCAGCGAGAGGAACAGCAGCAGUCCUGACAGGGAGGUGGGGCAACACAAACGGGCACUGAUGUCCGGACCGUCAUGGCGUUCGGUGCCCAAGUCUAAGAGCAGCGGUGCUAUCCUGCAGGAGCUACCCUCACCUGGACAGCAUGGGGCCACCAACACUGGGCGCAGUGAGCUGGACGAGCUCCAGGAGGAGGUGGCGAGGAGAGCCCGCCAGCAGGAGCAGCAAAAGCGCAAAGAGGCGGAGCAAGAGGCGGCCCAGGGAUUCAACCCCAAACCCAGCAAGUUCAUGGACCUGGAUCAGCUCCAGCACCAGGCUGUGCUCAGAUCGGUGCAUGAGGCUAGCGCUCAUAGCGGAUUGGCCGUAGCCGCGUGCAUGAGGAGCGCCACAGGGGAGCCCGUGGUCAGACACAGGCAGGAACAGGCAACGGAAUGGGAGUCAGGAAGCAGCCGGCAACAGGGGCCUUGCAGUGAACAGCCUGGCCCAGUCCAAGUACUGCUGACGCCCAAUCAGGAGGAGGUAGAGGACCAGGCAUCAGCCAACCAGGAGCCGCCCCCUCUGUCUCCACCCCUGCCCCCGCCCUAUCGCACCCCCAUCGGUCCUCCACGUCCCGCUGCGCUUACACUCAGCAUCCCUCAAACGAGCGCCCCCUCCGAUCGAGGCGGGAGCGGGGACGACAGGGGAGACGGCACGGUGGUGAGGCUGUGCGAGUUACUGCAGGCAGGGGGGGUGAGCAUCAGACCCCUGGGAAGGCACUUGGCUAUUUCUCUCCCAUCGCUUCCUCUGCGAUUUUGGGACACACCCAUCACUCAACCGCUGCCUCCCCCUCCUCCUCCGCCCCCUCCGGAAGCCUCCGGGCAAAGGAAACCUAUGACCCCUCUCUGGCAGCCACCCCAACCCGAUUCCACCACCGCCACCGCUGCCACCCCUCAGCCUUGGCAGCCCGCCGACAGCUCCACCCGUCAUUGGUCCUCCUGGAGUCUGGAUCGCCCCGACGCCAUGGUGACGCCCUAUGACACCCCUCCGGACCACUGUGCCCCUAUACCACCCAGGCAGCUGAGCGCUGGUCGGCACCCCUCUCGGGGGCACUAUAGCUCCCAGCAUGCCUUGGGGCAACACGCUGACCCCAGAAGCUGUGAGCAUGAGGAGGCAGAGCUCACGGAACUUGACACCCUUUACCAGGCCAGUCUGCAGGCGGGGAGGACAGGCUGCAGCCCGUCAGAGCGGCUCAUAUCCAGGGUGGGCGGCCAGGCUCGCUCCAGAACCCCCAAUGCAGACAUGGAAAGGAGCGUGUUUGGCCCGGACGGCGCCAGCACCCCCACCUACCUCAACAAGCCAAUGGUGUUGCAGGGUCUGCGUUUGGGGGCAGGGCCCGACGAGGAGGGUAACCUGAGGCGAAUUGGACGCAGCUUGAGCGGCACAGUGGUGGUAACCCCACACCGCCUGACCGCAACCCGCAGCUUUGCGAAGCAGGCUGAUGUCAGUGCCUCGCAUUGCUUACUUCCUCUCUCCUGAGUCCCUGUCGCUAUUGCACCACCAUCACCUCCUCCAUCCUCUUCAUCACCUUGUCAUCACCACCUCCCUCCACUGCCUCACAGGAGUUGUCGGGCAGUGCCGGGAGCUUCUGGCUGUAUUUGACGGGGGUCAAGCUGUCUUCUGGUGACAAGAGUCCUGCCCGCCCUCACUGACGUCCACUUGGGCAUCAUCAGGAGGAUGGACAAAGCCCUUCCCUCUAUCUCCCCCUCCCUUUUGGAAACGCCAUGCAACACGUCCACACACCUGCAGCAACAUAGAGCACCCUUGCUUUUCCCUCCCUCCCUCCUCCACCCUUUAAUCCAUUAUUCUGUCUAUGCAGUCACUCUGACCCCCAAACCUCAAAAUUGUCCUUACUUUCCGGGACUGCCCACCCCCCACCCCCCACCCCCUUUAUGUGAGAGAUCCUCGGCUAAAACUGCUGGGGUGAGCGGGACCUUUGCUCUUGGCUCCAACCAAGUAGCCACGCCUCUUCCUGUUUCAACACGGGCAUUUCCAGUUGGACGUAGCAGACCUGAUUCCGAUAGACAGCCAUAUCUUCCCUUUUUGUUUACUUCUUUUUGUCCCCUCUGGUGGUGUACAGACCAAGUCAUCAAGAAUAAGACUUUAUGGAAUGUUGAUCAUCAAUGAAUACUCUUCAUAUUCUGCAUUUCAAAUAGAAAGUGGGCUUCACUUCACAAGUGUCUAGCUGGAGUUUUUGCCCCUCUGCCCCCGCCACCCGCAGGACACAUGUAGCAAAUGACAGCUCUCCCGUUUCUACCGGGAGCUUAAAAAAGAAAAGAGCCUGUUGUUAGGUUUUUUUUUUUCUUCAUUUAUUUCAUGUUUGUCUUUUCACUGUCCCUUUCCUUCCAAAUAUGACGCAGUACCAAGGGGGGAGACACGUACGGGAAUGAAUGUAGAAUGAUGCUAGUGCACUUUGCAGGGCCACCGUGGUAGAAGUGCACUUUUUUAAAUGAAGGACUGAAAGGAGGAAGCUCGUGCUUGUUUCACUUUAAAAGGUCUCAGGUCUAAUCCGUGAUACACUUUAUAUUAGAAUGAAUAAUUCCCACCUUCGGGCCCAGACAUGUUGCUUUAAAUGUGUUAUUACAGGUCUAUUUUCAGCCCAUGUGCUGAAGGAUGUCAACCAUGUUGUACAGUCACACGCACGCACGCACGCAUACAUACAUACACACACACACCCUUUACUAAGCGGUAGGGGUGUAACGCUACGCCAUCAUCACGGUUAUCAUUAAUGGUCCUCCUCAUACUUACUUUCAACGCUUAAAUGUAUAGAUCAAAGGUGUCAAACUCAUUUUUAUUGAGGGCCACAUUGCAUUUAUGGCUGCCCUCAGAGGGCUGCUUGUAACUGUCAAUAUAGAGUAUAUGGAUAGAAAUGUAUCAUUGCCUCGUAUUGUUAUGAAACAGUUACCCUGCAAUUUAUGAUUAUAUUUUUACUAACAAAUUGAGAAGUGACAAGCUGAUGUUGAAGUAUUUAUUUUUGAUAACAAAAAAUGCUUGGAAUAUCUUGUUGCAUGAUAGAUAAUAUUAAAGUUUGGAAAAGGGAUGUCCAAAGUGCGGCCCGGGGGCCAGUUCUUUUUUAAUUGACCCAUGGCACAUUCUACAAUUAUGAUUUACGAGAAUAAAGUCAAAAUAUUAUGGGAAUUAAUUCAUAAUUAUGAGAAGAACAUUUAGAAGAAGCUGUAAUAAACUGGUAAUAUGAGAAAAAGUAAUGUAAUUUUAGUAGCCUAGAGUUGAAGGAAUAUGAUAUUUAAACAAACAAAACAAAAUAAAGUUGUCGUUUUUGGAUUGGGUUGGGGGAAAAGUCAUAAUAUUGGAAUAACAUCACAAAAUCAGGGGUAGUGAUAUAAUACACCUUGAGGUGCAACCUAGACACAUCGUCAGUGAACGAACCUGGCGUCAUCGGGUGUUUAGGGUCUUAGGUCCAGACACCCUCUUCCUGGCGACCCAGCCGGGGAUGAUCAGCCCCCGACUUGUGUCUAGGUAGCAAAACUCCGCCACUCCUCAGCCCUUUUAAUCCAGAGCCACCUAGAAGCUUUCUCAGCAGCUUCCAAGAUGCUCUUGAUGGCUCUUUGUUUCUGCUGCCCACAGAUCCCAAAGAGACCCAGGACCCGAUAUAGGGAUUGCCCUGCAAAACCCCUGCAGCCUACUUCCACAGGCUCGCAGCGGGCCUUCCAUCCCUGCCUCUGACAUUCCUCCACCAGAGAUGCAUACUUGGCUCUCUUCCUCUCUUGUGCCUCUUCCAUCCUGUCUUCCCGGGGGACUAUCAACUCCAAGAUCACCACCUGCUUGGUAGCCCCGGAGUGAUAGUCAUAAUAUUACAAAAAGAAAAUGUACACAAACUAUUUAAGAAGAAAGUUAAUAUAUUUGGGAAAUGUUUCAAAAAAACAGCAAGAAUGUCACCUACAGUACAGUAUAUGACAAAGCUGAGAUGCAGUUUUAAAAAAUACACAGAGUAUAUAACUUAUUAGCAUAUCUACAUGUGUUGCUUUAUGAAAUAUCAAAGUUAAAAGCAAAGUUGCAUCCUUUCAUUUUUCAUUAUGUGGCCCUCGCUGGUUGGAAAGGUUGGAAAUCUGGUUUAGAAAAACUGCAUGCAGUACAAUUUUUCAGUCAAAAUGAAAGAACAAAUAUGUUUAGAAGGAAGAAGGUGAAGUACAUUAUUGACAUACAUAGUUUCUAGGAUUUCAAUGAGCCACAUAAAAUAAUGUGGUGGGCCAGAUCCGGGCCCGAGUUUGACACCUGUGCUCUAGAUCAACUUCAGAUCUAUUAAGUUUUUUUUUUUUAUGUUUUUUAUGUUUUACACCUUUUUUGUCAAAGGAACCUCUGUUUUUUUAGUAGCAAAAACACCAAUAUGCAAUAUUGAAUUGUUUCAAAGUGGAAUAUUUGAUAUGAGGUAAUUAGAGCCUUUAACAUCUCAACAAUUUUUAUUAGCAUAUGUUUUUAUUAUUACAUGUUAUUAUAUUUUAAUAAUAACAUGAAACAUAGCCAUCAACACAAAGGACGAUCUGUCCUGAAAAUCGACUACAUUAAACUACUUUAAUUCAUUAUGAAACAGAAAUUGGAAGUGUUUGAAGAGUGAAUGAUUAUUUUCAUUUUCGUCAGAGAAAGUUGCCUUAUUGGCUGAAGUGCAGUAUUAACACUUCCAGCUUGUAGCCUGGUUCCCAAUCUCUUUGCUUUUUCUAUGUCUUAUCCCUCUAUGUGUUUACCUGGAAGGCCAAGUGUUCCCAAACAGGAGACUUUAACGAUGGAAGAGGGUUUUCAAGCUUUUGCAUCUCCUUGGCACUAUUUUUGUUGACUGAGCAAACGGGCAGUUAUGCGUCCUGUCCCUUACUCAUUGUGUGGGAACUCCGAAAACUCAAAAUCAGAUGACAAAUACAUGUACUGUUACACCCCUACUAUGCAGCAUUAAUAAUACGCUUCAUGCUGGACAUAAAAAAGGUGGCCACUGUAAGAAUUGAUUGCAGAAGAAAGAACACUGAUGUUUUUUUUUUAAUUUCUCCUUUUUCUUGUGUCUUUUUAAAUCGUUAUUUGCAAGGAUGUAGCCAAUUGUAGCGCUUGAGUCCGCUAUGCAAAUCAACCCUCCCCCUCAAGGCCCUGUAUCAGCCAAGAGGACAGAACACAACACAACACAACACGACAAACACCCACAAAGAGGAGAAGGAGGAGAUCUCAUGUUUUAAUGCUGCUGGUGAACUUUGUUGUUCUGCAUCUAUUUACUCUUAUAGUUUCAACCAAUGGAAUGCAAAAACUAAACAAGAGCGAGAGAAAGCGGGAGAGCGCAACUGACUAGAAGGACUUGAGCGAGAAUGAAUGUAAAUGAAAGGAUGACCGCGAUGAGGAGUUUACUGUUUGUGGGGGUGUGCGGGCUUGUGUGUGUCACAUAGGGGCUGGGUGGGAGUUAGUGUUGCUCUGGGGAAAGCGGGAACUUGUAUUUUUGCAAUAAAGUUAUUACCAAUGCCCUCCCACAGGGGGCAUAGCUACCGUAUGAUGGCUCUCUGUGUCAAUUGCACCACAAAAUGCAUGUCAUUCCCAUGUCAAAUUGGGCACUUUGAUAUUUUGAUAGAUUUCUUUCAUUUUAUAAAAAUGCCAAAAAAAGUUGUACUCAUAUUUAAAAACAAACUUUUGUGUUAGUAUUAUUUCUUAGUAUCCACAAUGCAGAUUUUUCUCUUUACUUUUUGCUCUAUUUUUCCCCGUUCUGUUUUCUUGUAUUCUUGCUUGUCACACAGGGUUUCGGCUACAUGCAAUUGAUCGUGGGGCACCACCAAGGGACAAGAUAAAAGUCACACACCUUGAAAAUGAGUUUUUUAACGUGAAAAAAAAAUUGAAAGGAAAACUGCAUUUUUUGGGGAAUUUUGCCCAUCAUCCACAAUCCUUAUGUGAGACAUAUGCACCAGGUACGUAACGAAACAAGUUUACCAAGUAACUUUAGAUACGAGCUGAGCUGAGGAAAACCUAAAAAAAAUCAGUCCGGAGUAGAGGCAGCGACCGACGCGACACGAGCCGUUUUCAACUCUGUCUUGUUAAAUGCACUGUCUGGCUGCCAAUCACAGAGCGUGAAGAGUUGCAGCGUUGAAUGGGC